GGCCGUAGAUAGAUUUAACGGCGUUAGCCUCUCCUUUAUCUCUCGCUUUUCCAACCUUGCUCCCACCCGCACGACCACUCUGCCCACCGCCUGAGAAAAAUCCACACAGAUCCAGAAAAGUUUGGUCUCCACGGUCCUCGACCACCACCAAAUCUGGCCGCCAGUGACAUCCCACACGCCCCUGCGCCUGCAAGACACCGCCGGGGAGCACAUGCGACUUGCGCUCUCCCCGGCGGCUCCUCCUCCGCUUGCUCUCGCAGCCCCACCUCCCCAACUGCCACGGAUCCCCAAGCCUCACCUACGCCGGAUCCCGCAGCCUAUACCGUCGCCUAGCCCGCUCCGUCCACGGCUCGGGGCCCUGCCCCGCUCAUCCACGGCGCGGAGCACCAGGCAGGAUUAAAGGCAGGCUCGAGCGGUACUCCAGGCGGCUCCUCGCACUGGCCGAUUUUCCCCGUUCGCCCCGGCCAUCGACUUCCACCAUGAAUUCCUCUACGCUUGUUCCGCAGGACGGUGGAGAUUGAGAGCAGCGUCGCGCGCGCCGUGGAGGAGGAGCAAGGCUCGCGGCCGGUCCCUCAGCCGGACGAGUUCUGGUCCGCCGGGGCCACCACACUCAGUGCCCGGGCGCGAGGAUGGUUGUGUUGGUGUUCGACGGUGCGGGAGCACGCCAUUGAGGGGCCACGGCUGGAGGAUGCCAUUGAGGAAUGAUGCGAGAAGAGGACGCGGGCGUCGUUCUCUGCGUCUCCCAUUCGAUGAGGGAGGAGCCCAGCUCCGUCCGUGGCGUGCGGCGAGGAGGGAGGACGCCUGCUCCGGCCGCGGCGUGCUGCGAGCUGCAAAGGCACUAAUCGUGGAUCAGAAGACCAGAAGUCCUAAUUGAUAAAUAACCACUGCCUCUCUGGCGCUGGUCUUCCCCUUUUUACGGAUGUGCGUUUCCCACCAUCGAGGUCACCAUGGCGAUGGCGGCGGUGCCGACGAGGUGCUGCUGGAUGUUCUAGAUAUUUCUUCACCUUCCACUGCUGAGACUGAGAGUAAGGACUUGCUGCGUCAUGGGCUAAUGGAGGUGCUCGCCCUCGUGGUCGUCGCGAGGAUGGGAAUGCAGGCUGCUGCUAUGUGUUCUUUGUUUUCUUAUUCCUCGUUUUGGCUGCAUCCCCUGUUCCUGGAGGCAAGCAGUUCGGCUCUAAUGCAUCCCUGAAAUCUCUUAUCUCUUUAUUCCCGAUUUCUGUUUUUUUUUCUUGUUAGUCAUAGUGCUGCUAGGAUGUGAGACCAUUGAGAUGCCUCUCGGCUGGCUUAUUUCUUCUUCUUUUUUGUUCCGUCCAAGAAAUCAAAUAUAGAGUGAGUGUGUUCAUCUUUGGCACCAAA